GACGAACGCUGGCGGCGUGCUUAACACAUGCAAGUCGAACGGAAAGGCCUGCUUUCCCUUGUGGAUUGCGGGUACUCGAGUGGCGAACGGGUGAGUAACGCGUGAGUGAUCUGCCCCCAACUUGGGUAUAAGCCUGGGAAACUGGGUCUAAUUCCCGAUAGGACUGCAGGGUGGUGCCUGUGGUGGAAAACGAUUUUCUAGUGGUUGGGGAUGAGCUCGCGGCCUAUCAGCUUGUUGGUGGGGUAAUGGCCUACCAAGGCGGCGACGGGUAGCCGGCCUGGGAGGGUGGACGGCCACAUUGGGACUGAGAUACGGCCCAGACUCCUACGGGAGGCAGCAGUGGGGAAUAUUGCACAAUGGGCGGAAGCCUGAUGCAGCGACGCCGCGCGGGGGAUGACGGCCUUCGGGUUGUAAACUCCUUUCGACCGCGAGGAAGCCACCUGGUUGGAAGGGUGGUGACGGUAGUGGUAGAAGAAGCACCGGCUAACUACGUG
rnacentral:rRNA from 1 species